rnacentral:rRNA from 1 species
GUGGGGAAUUUUGGACAAUGGGCGAAAGCCUGAUCCAGCCAUGCCGCGUGUGUGAAGAAGGUCUUCGGAUUGUAAAGCACUUUAAGUUGGGAGGAAGGGCAGUAAGUUAAUACCUUGCUGUUUUGACGUUACCGACAGAAUAAGCACCGGCUAACUUCGUGCCAGCAGCCGCGGUAAUACGAAGGGUGCAAGCGUUAAUCGGAAUUACUGGGCGUAAAGCGCGCGUAGGUGGUUCGUUAAGUUGGAUGUGAAAGCCCCGGGCUCAACCUGGGAACUGCAUCCAAAACUGGCGAGCUAGAGUACGGUAGAGGGUGGUGGAAUUUCCUGUGUAGCGGUGAAAUGCGUAGAUAUAGGAAGGAACACCAGUGGCGAAGGCGACCACCUGGACUGAUACUGACACUGAGGUGCGAAAGCGUGGGGAGCAAACAGGAUUAGAAACCCCAGUAGUCC